rnacentral:rRNA from 1 species
GAUGAACGCUGGCGGCGUGCUUAACACAUGCAAGUCGAACGAAGCAUUCCAUUUGAAAGUGAACCAGCUUGCUGGGGAACAAUCUCCCGGAAUGACUUAGUGGCGGACGGGUGAGUAACGCGUGGGUAACCUGCCUUACACAGGGGGAUAACAGUUAGAAAUGACUGCUAAUACCGCAUAACCCGAUAGUAUCGCAUGGUACAGUCGGCAAAGAUUUUAUCGGUAUAAGAUGGACCCGCGUCGGAUUAGCGAGUUGGUGGGGUAACGGCCCACCAAGGCGACGAUCAGUAGCCGACUUGAGAGAGUGAUCGGCCACAUUGGGACUGCGACACGGCCCAAACUCCUACGGGAGGCAGCAGUGGGGAAUAUUGCACAAUGGGCGGACGCCUGAUGCGGCGACGCCGCGUGGGGGAUGACGGUCUUCGGAUUGUAAACCCCUUUCAGUAGGGACGAAGCGCAAGUGACGGUACCUGCAGAAGAAGCACCGGCCAACUACGUGCCAGCCGCCGCAGUAA